AGGUAGCUGUGUUGGUCUGACACAGCCGAAAUAAAUAAAUAAAAAUUGUCCAGUAGCACCUUAGAGACCAACUAAGUAUGUUCUGGGUAUAAGCUUUCAUGUGUAUCUGAAGAAGUGUGCAUGCACACGAAAAAUAAUACCCAGAACAUACUUAGUUGGUCUCUAAGGUGCUACUGGACAAUUUUUUAAUUUAUUUUUUAUUGCAGUUGCAAUCAUUUC